rnacentral:tRNA from 1 species
GCCCCUUUAGCUAAGUGGAUUAAAGCAUUCGACUUCGAAUCGAAAUAUCGGGGGUUCAAUUCCCUCAAGGGGUU